rnacentral:piRNA from 1 species
UGGUCCGUAUCCCAUUCUAUCUCAGAUGC